CAUGGGUCUACACUACAAGAUGCCUUAGUCACCAAGGAAUAGGUAGACCUGCCUAUUCAUUUCCAAACACCUUCCUUACUCCCCCUACUUACUAUUUAGCUCUUGUGAGAGAGAGAGAGGGAGACAGAGAGAGAGAGAGAUGGAUGCACCAGCGUACCAGGAGAUGGGAUACACAGAGCACAUCAGAAAACGCCAUGAGGAGAAAGGCUGCCUCUACGCUUGUUUGUUCACCCUGUGCUGCUGUUGUUGCUGUUUCGAGACCUGCGAAUGCUGCGUGGAAACGCUCUGCUGCUGCUGUACUUGAGGGAACAGAAAGACUCACCAAAUUAAAGCUCUUCUCCCUCCAAUGUCUCACUGUUGUGUUAUGACAUAUGAGAUAGGAUAACAGUAAAUUUUCAGUUUUGUUGUCAUGAAUUUAGGAUGUUUAAAUGUUGGAAGACUCUGAAAAAUAUUAAUAAGGGUGGGAUUAGAGUCUGGAACUGUUCUUGUAAUAAUAGAACAUAUAUUUAUUAUUUGUGCA